rnacentral:rRNA from 1 species
GCUUGUCUCAAAGAUUAAGCCAUGCAUGUCUCAGCAUAAGCUUCAACACGGUGAAACUGCAAAUGGCUCAUUAAAGCAGUUACAAUUUAUUUGAUGGUCACUGUUACAUGGAUAACUGUGGUAAUUCUAGAGCUAAUACAUGCGCCAAGUCCCGUCUCACGUCGGGAUGUAUUUAUUAGAUUUCAAUCAACACUUUUUGCUGACUCAUGAUAACUUAGCGGAUCGCAGAGGCCUCGCGCCGGCGACAAAUCAUUCAAGUUUCUGCCCUAUCAGCUUUCGAUGGUAGUGUAUUGGACUACCAUGGCAUUCACGGGUAACGGAGGAUUAGGGUUCGAUUCCGGAGAGGGAGCCUGAGAAAUGGCUACCACAUCCAAGGAAGGCAGCAGG